CGAUUCGUUAUGGGGAUGUUACCAGGA
rnacentral:piRNA from 1 species